rnacentral:lncRNA from 1 species
UCAUUUUUUUUUUUCUAUCUGCAAUGCAGUUUAGCUCAGCUCAACAGACAUUCACUGGGCCUUGUGCAAACCACUGAGCUUUAAUAGAUGAAUGAGACAUUGCUCCUGGCCUCAGAUGAACACAAAUAAUUUCUCUUUAAUGUGGAAACUGCUAUGGUACACAAGCAGGCACAGGCUGCUACAGGAGGACAAAAGAAGAGUGCUGAGCCCUGCCUCAUUAGAGAAAAUGAGCUAAGUCAUGAAGACCAGUAAAAGCUGAACAGAAAAAGAAGGGCAGGAGCAGCAGAAGCAAAGGUCGUGAAAUUUCAUGAACACGCAAAGGCGUGACCAUUGGAAGAAGAAACCCAAAGAAGAUGGAGAAGGAAGGUUGACCAAGGGGAGCACCAGGAAAGAACUGGUGUCAUGGAGGCGAAGAAUGGAGAGUUACAGGGAAUGGCGGCAGGUGACAUUGAGUAAACCACCUAGAGGUUCCUGGGCAUCUUUUCCAUGGUUGUUUCAGUGAAAUGCAAGGGGUAGAAAUCAGAUGGUAGUGCUGGGUGCGGUGACUCACGCCUGUCAUCCCAGCACUUUGGGAGGUUGAGCCGGGCAGAUCACAAGAUCAGGCAAUUGAGACCAUCCUGACUAACACGGUGAAACCCCGUCUCUACUAAAAAUACAAAAAAAAUUAGCUGGGCGUGGUGGCAGGCACCUGUAGUCCCAGCUACUUGGGA